CCAUCACCACCAUACCUGAUUAUCUUUCGGGUAUGGGUGUAUGGCCGGAAGAGAACAAAAUAUCUUCCGAGUGCGAUAACAUCAUAGCAGAACCAUAGCCCCUCGGAAGGAAACUUUCGAGGGGUUUUUGUU
rfam:Rodentibacter rarus strain CCTG17206 contig_85, whole genome shotgun sequence.